rnacentral:lncRNA from 1 species
CAUAAUCAAAGCUUAGUGAGAGAUGAAGUGAGCUGUUGCUCCUUCUUAUGCUGUGUCCCGGAGUUGGUAUUUGGCUUUUUGGACUGCAGAAAGCUGGUUGUUACCUUUUAAGUGUGAGCUCAAGCUGGACACUCGCAGUGGAAGAAUUCUUGCCAGGCUUGGGAGCAUCCCCGAGGUCUCUGCUUGCCCCCCGGCAGGGCUGCACACAAGUCCUGUUACUCAGAGUUUCACUGGAGCCAGCUGAAAGCAGGUCCCGUAACUUCUUUUUUAAGUUACACUUCUACUACCAUGUGCUUAUUAAGGGUAUACUGGGCGAGAGUAAACUCUGAGAACUAUAAAAAGACCUUUGGGAAAAUGCUAGAAAACACACUUGUAUUUUGCUAGAAGCCUCCUACAUCUCCUUGGAUUUUGUUUAACUCCCAGUUCUGGUUCCCUGGAUAGUUCUGUUUUCAACAGAUUUCUAUGUUCAGUAAAGAAUGUGGGUACUCUUUGGACUAUUUUUGUAACGUAAAUAGACAGCAAUGCCACAGCAUGCAGAAAUUGCACAUUUUGCUUGAGUUGCUUUGUAAAAUACACUAUUUUAUUUGAGAAAUGUAAUUUAUGCCAAAAAGUGUAAGAUACCAUUUUGCCACUGAAUAGGGUGUUCCAGCACAAGAUGCAAUGUCUAAGGGGGGAAAAGGCAGACACUUCGUAGAUUUAAUUGAAAAAUUGUUCCAGUAUUGGGCUGUCAGCAUCCCUAAAACUGCAUUACAAGAGUGUCUAAAUUAAUCCUUCUGAGGAAAAAGGGGAUCAAGGAAAAUCUCAAGACUUUAUUCUCCCUGCCCCGUGUGGUCUUUUCUUAUUUAGUAAUACGCUGCUACAUAUUUGGGGGUUCUAGUGUUUGUAGGUCACUGAACAGACAUUGAAAUCUGAUUUAUAUUGUAUACCUGUAACAUAGAAAGAAAAAGUAUUUAUAUAUUUUCCGUAAGAAUAUUGCAUUGAGCUGUGUAUAAUUUAAACAGAGGCUUGUCCCAAAUGGUAUUGCCCACCCUGAUUUUUUUUUUUUCUGGUUUGGGUUUUUUUUCUUUUUUUCUUUUUGUCCCCCCCCCCCCCCUUUUUUUUUUUAACAGUGUGUACAGUUCAUGUCAAUGGGCAUUAAAAGCCUUCUGAAGCGUAGUCUUAUCAAAGGGAUGCAUUGUUAAUAAAAUGUACUUAAACUUC